AUGCUAUGGUGAGGACAUUCCUAGAGUAGAUGCUUGAAUCUCUUCAUAAGUUUGGGAAAGAACUCACUAGGCUUUUGCCUAAACUGAAGGAUAUCACUUCUAAGCUU